AACUACCUGAAAUGUUCGAUAACUCAUGUUGUUUUGAACCUACAUUGAAUUUGAACGGGAUUCCAAUAAACUUUACGGAUGACACGCCUCCCAUUAAGUGUAGUGGACUUCAGAAGUAAAGGUGAGGUCGCCCACCUGGCGUUAGCUAGGCGUCAAAAUACGUGAGCCGACAUUUUGGGAACGAA
rnacentral:other from 1 species